rnacentral:rRNA from 1 species
GAUUUCUGGCCUGAAACAAUUUGCCGGCCACGGUUUCGUGUGUCAGUGCGUUUUGUUCUAGCCAUCCUUCCAAUCGCUAUUGUCGUCUCUUCAUUGAGAAGGCAGUGGUAUUGGAUCUUUUACUUUGAAAAAAUUAGAGUGUUUCAAGCAGGCUUUAUGCUGUGAAUACAUUAGCAUGGAAUAAUAAUUUAGGACUUCGGUUCUAUUUUGUUGGUUUCUAGGACUGAAGUAAUGAUUGAUAGGGAUAGUUGGGGGUGCUAGUAUUCAGCGGCCAGAGGUGAAAUUCUCGGAUUCGCUGAAGACUAACUUAUGCGAAAGCAUU